GGGGAGAUACCCAAGUGGCCAAAGGGGACAGACUGUAAAUCUGUUGGCGUCAGCCUUCGUAGGUUCAAAUCCUGCUCUCCCCACCA
rnacentral:tRNA from 1 species